AGAGUUUGAUCCUGGCUCAGGAUGAACGCUGGCGGCGUGCUUAACACAUGCAAGUCGAGCGAAGCGAUUUAAGUGAAGUUUUCGGAUGGAUCUUAAAUUGACUGAGCGGCGGACGGGUGAGUAACGCGUGGAUAACCUGCCUCACACAGGGGGAUAACAGUUAGAAAUGACUGCUAAUACCGCAUAAGCGCACGGUACCGCAUGGUACAGUGUGAAAAACUCCGGUGGUGUGAGAUGGAUCCGCGUCUGAUUAGGUAGUUGGUGAGGUAACGGCCCACCAAGCCGACGAUCAGUAGCCGACCUGAGAGGGUGACCGGCCACAUUGGGACUGAGACACGGCCCAAACUCCUACGGGAGGCAGCAGUGGGGAAUAUUGCACAAUGGGCGAAAGCCUGAUGCAGCAACGCCGCGUGAGUGAAGAAGUAUCUCGGUAUGUAAAGCUCUAUCAGCAGGGAAGAAAAUGACGGUACCUGACUAAGAAGCCCCGGCUAACUACGUGCCAGCAGCCGCGGUAAUACGUAGGGGGCAAGCGUUAUCCGGAUUUACUGGGUGUAAAGGGAGCGCAGACGGCACUGCAAGUCUGAAGUGAAAGCCCGGGGCUCAACCCCGGGACUGCUUUGGAAACUGUAGAGCUAGAGUGCUGGAGAGGCAAGCGGAAUUCCUAGUGUAGCGGUGAAAUGCGUAGAUAUUAGGAAGAACACCAGUGGCGAAGGCGGCUUGCUGGACAGUAACUGACGUUCAGGCUCGAAAGCGUGGGGAGCAAACAGGAUUAGAUACCCUGGUAGUCCACGC
rnacentral:rRNA from 1 species